rnacentral:rRNA from 1 species
GGUUUUGCGCCGAAGAUGUCCGGGGCUAAAAUCUAUUACCGAAGUUGUGGGAUACCGCUAAUUUCUUCAAAAGUUCAAGUAGAGAAACAUGAGGACAUCACAGUUCGAAAUCCAUCCUUAACAAUAAAACAUUAAAAAGGAUUUCGAAUAGAUGCAAAAAAAGAUAAAAUCUAUUUGAGAGAUUGAAGAAAUUAGUGGUAUCGGUAGAGGAGCAUUGUGUACGGGAAGAAGCACUACCGGAAGGAGUUGUGGACUGUACAGAAGAGAGAAUGUUGGCAUGAGUAGCGAAAGGUGAGUGAGAAUCUCACCCAUCGAAAGCCUAAGGAUUCCUGAGGAAGGCUCGUCCACUCAGGGUAAGUCGGGACCUAAGCCGAGGCCAAAAGGCGUAGGCGAUGGACAACUGGUUGAAAUUCCAGUACCGCCUUUGAGCGUUUGAGAGAAGUGGUGACACAGAAGGGUAAGUUUGCGCACUGAUGGAAUAGUGCGUCUAAGUAAGUAGGGAGAUGUUACAGGCAAAUCCGUAGCAUCAAUCCUGAGAUACGAAUGGGAGCGAAAAUAAGUAGUGAAGUAGCUGAGCCCACGCUGUCAAGAAAAGCCUCUAUCGAGCAAGAAGGUGCCCGUACCGCAAACCGACACAGGUAGGUGAGGAGAGAAUCCUAAGAUGAGCGAGAGAACCCUUGUUAAGGAACUCGGCAAAUUAACCCCGUAACUUCGGGAGAAGGGGUACUCAAAAGAGUCGCAGUUAAAAGGCCCAAGCAACUGUUUAGCAAAAACACAGGUCUCUGCUAAGUCGCAAGACGAUGUAUAGGGGCUGACGCCUGCCCGGUGCUGGAAGGUUAAGGGGAGAGGUUAGCGAAAGCGAAGCUUUAAACUUAAGCCCCAGUAAACGGCGGCCGUAACUAUAACGGUCCUAAGGUAGCGAAAUUCCUUGUCGGGUAAGUUCCGACCCGCACGAAAGGUGUAACGAUUUGGGCACUGUCUCAACAAUAGAUCCGGUGAAAUUGUAGUACUCGUGAAGAUGCGAGUUACCCGCGGCAGGACGGAAAGACCCCAUGGAGCUUUACUGCAGGCUGACAUUGGAAUUCGGUAGCAAUUGUACAGAAUAGGUGGGAGACAAAGAAGCCAGUACGCCAGUAUUGGUGGAGUCAACGUUGGGAUACCACUCUAUUGUUACUGAAUUUCUAACAUGGUACCAUAAUCUGGUACAUGGACACUGUCAGUUGGGCAGUUUGACUGGGGCGGUCGCCUCCGAAAGAGUAACGGAGGCGCUCAAAGGUUCCCUCAGCACGGUCGGAAAUCGUGCGAAGAGUGUAAAGGCAGAAGGGAGCUUGACUGCGAGAUAGACAUAUCGAGCAGGAACGAAAGUUGGACUUAGUGAUCCGGUGGCACCGAGUGGAAAGGCCAUCGCUUAACGGAUAAAAGCUACCCUGGGGAUAACAGGCUUAUCUCCCCCAAGAGUCCACAUCGACGGGGAGGUUUGGCACCUCGAUGUCGGCUCGUCUCAUCCUGGGGCUGAAGCAGGUCCCAAGGGUUGGGCUGUUCGCCCAUUAAAGAGGCACGCGAGCUGGGUUCAGAACGUCGUGAGACAGUUCGGUCCCUAUCCGCCGUGGGCGCAGGAAAUUUGAAGGGAGCUGUUCCUAGUACGAGAGGACCGGAAUGGACAGACCGCCGGUGAAUCAGUUGUUCCGCCAGGAGCAUGGCUGAGUAGCUGAGUCUGGAAAAGAUAAGCGCUGAAAGCAUCUAAGCGCGAAACGUACCCUAAGAUAAGAUUUCCCAUCACAUAAGUGAGUAAGACCCCUGAUAUGUUAACAGGUUGA